CGCCAGAUCAAUCCAUUUACGAUCGUCUCCCCAAUCACAACUCAUAUCUGAUACUCUAUAUUAUUUGCUUUCCUAUUGAACUAUAAUCAAGUAUACGCCAAGUAGCCCAACUCAAUCGUUGCUCAGCACCAUAUGAAUAUUCCAGUUAUUGGAGCAAUAAAGUUUUAGCUUUUUCGAGUAA